AUGACAUAUUUACAAUCAAUUGGGGAAGUAAUUGGCUUCCUGUUAUUGUCAACCUUCUCGAUAUUGGAUGGCAUUAUCAAGUCAUUCAUUCCCAAGAAGUAUAAAAUGAAGAAUAUAGGUGGCGAAAUUGCCCUGGUGACAGGAGGAGGUGGAGGAUUGGGGAGGCUUCUUUCCCUCAGGCUGGCCAACUUAGGCGCCAUCGUAAUUAUUUGGGAUAUAAACGAGAUCGGCAUUGAGGAAACUGUUAAACUUGUUCGGGCGGCCGGAGGUACGUGUUAUGGCUACGUUUGCGACUUGUGCGAUCGAACAGACAUAUAUAAAAAGGCUAAAAUUAUCAGAGAAGAGAUCGGCAAGGUAACGGUUCUUAUCAAUAAUGCGGGCAUCGUUACGGGAAUGAAAUUUCUGGACACUCCGGACGAAUUUAUUAUCAGGACGAUGGACGUUAAUAUUAUGAGCCACUUUUGGACUGUAAAAGCUUUUCUUCCAACGAUGCUGGAAAACAAUAAAGGACAUAUCGUGAGCGUGGCCAGUUUAGCCGGUCAAUGCGGGAUUCCAAAAUUGAUAGACUAUUGUGCAUCUAAAUUUGCGGCAAUCGGAUUUGAUGAAGCUCUUCGAAUGGAACUUGAGUACGAAGGGUACAACAUCAACACAACAGUUGUAUGUCCUUAUUUUAUCCGCAGUACCGGCAUGUUCGAUGAUGUUCAAUCAAGAUACAUCCCGACUCUAAGUCCAAAUGCUGUAGCCGAUAGAAUAAUAAUGGCGAUGAGGUGUAACGAAAAGUAUGCCAUCAUUCCAGGCUACUUACAAAUUUUGCUUACUUUAAAGUGGAUAUUUCCAUGGCCAUGUGUCGCCAUGUUUCUUCGUGGAUUAGUAAGAGACGCUUCGCCAAGCCAUGAAAAUAACAAAUCAUAUGUAGUUGCGACUGCGACUAUCGCGGAAAAGGAAUGUAUCGUACCGUCAUCAAAGGAUCAAAACGUCGCUGCCAUUCAUCAACAAUUAGCUAGACGUAUCUCUAGCCCCGAAAGAAAACCUUGAACUUUUCUUACUCCGUCUCGGUUUUAAUAUCGAUCUAGAAUGUUAAAAUUUUGUUAAAAGGUUAGAGUUUUCUGUCUUCCUACUAUGUCUACCUUGCAGCUCUUCAUAUGUUUCAAUCUUUUACAUUGUUUUAAUGAAAUAAAUCGCUUAAUAUGUUUCUAGUGUCAGUGUUGAAUAAAAAUACUACCCAUUUCGACGAGUAGAAUUGCGCAGAGUUUCUCUUUUUUCAAGUUUCUUAUAGCUGCGCCUUCAGUAAUCGAUUAUUCGCAGGAAGAAAAGGAAAUGUGAAGAAAGUGCAUCUCAAUCUAUUAAAAAAUUGGAUAACAUCUUUGUUCUUGAUGUAUGACCUAGCAUAAUGCAAGGAGUUUCCACAUAGAGGAGAGUUGCUGAAUGCGUACUACUUCUGAGGAAAAAAGAUUAGAUCUGCCGAGAUAUGAUUAUGUCUAGGUUCAACAAAUCUGGUCAGAUAUAACUCCGAUAAAAAAUUUUGUCAUAUACAGGGUAUUUCAUACUUACUGGAUCGCCUUUCGUGAGGAAAUAGAACGGAUUAGACUGAGUAAAAAAUUAUCUACAAUUUUCACAAUAACUAACGAAAUAUUAAUUUCUAAAAAUUGCCAAAUAAAUACUAUUAUAGUAUUCACUUAGCUCACCACCAAAUGCAAGCACGCAACACGAUACAACAUACAACUGCCUAGCGCGGGGAGAUGUUUUUUUUCGCUGUUCGUGCAUUGCCAAGGCCGCUUGUAGUAAACAACUCGCAUGUCUAGCAACCUAGGACGCACGAGUCUACCAAUCACCACGUAGAAGAAAGUGGGAGAAUUGUGCGCAUCCUGGUUUGGUACUUUUCCAAUUGAUGAAAACAUCAUUGUGGUGAAAUUUUUACGCAAGAAGUUGUCCUCUUAAGAUAUAACUACAAAAGAUACGACGCAAAUACAUUUGCUAGCCAGAGAAAUACAAAAAAGUGAAAUCAUCUUUUCUUGUUAUUUUAGCUUUCAAAAAAUAAGAUG